UGGGGAAUUUUGGACAAUGGGCGCAAGCCUGAUCCAGCCAUGCCGCGUGUCUGAAGAAGGCCUUCGGGUUGUAAAGGACUUUUGUCAGGGAAGAAAAGGCUGUUGCUAAUAUCAGCGGCUGAUGACGGUACCUGAAGAAUAAGCACCGGCUAACUACGUGCCAGCAGCCGCGGUAAUACGUAGGGUGCAAGCGUUAAUCGGAAUUACUGGGCGUAAAGCGAGCGCAGACGGUUACUUAAGCAGGAUGUGAAAUCCCCGGGCUCAACCUGGGAACUGCGUUCUGAACUGGGUGACUAGAGUGUGUCAGAGGGAGGUAGAAUUCCACGUGUAGCAGUGAAAUGCGUAGAGAUGUGGAGGAAUACCGAUGGCGAAGGCAGCCUCCUGGGAUAACACUGACGUUCAUGCUCGAAAGCGUGGGUAGCAAACAGGAUUAGAUACCCUGGUAGUCCACGCCCUAAACGAUGUCAAUUAGCUGUUGGGCAACUUGAUUGNUCAGUAGCGUAGCUAACGCGUGAAAUUGACCGCCUGGGGAGUACGGUCGCAAGAUUA
rnacentral:rRNA from 1 species